rnacentral:misc_RNA from 1 species
GAUGAAGAACGCAGCGAAAUGCGAUAAGUAAUGUGAAUUGCAGAAUUCAGUGAAUCAUCGAAUCUUUGAACGCACAUUGCGCCCGCUAGUAUUCUGGCGGGCAUGCCUGUUCGAGCGUCAUUUCAACCAUCAAGCCCUGUUUAGGCUUGUGUUGGGGCCCUGCGGUUGCCGCAGCCCCCUAAAUGCAGUGGCGGGCUCGUUGUCACUCCGAGCGCAGUAGCGUAUCUCGCUCUGGGCGUGGCGGCGGGUGCUAGCCGUGAAACACCCCCUAAGGUUGACCUCGGAUCAGGUAGGAAUACCCGCUGAACUUAAGCAUAUCAAUAAGCGGAGGA